CCCGCGCUCGGGGCCUGAGUCGGCGGGAGCGCGGCCAGGGAAAGCCGGGGGGCCCCGGCGCCCGCCCCGAGACCCGCCCGCGCCCUCGGCCCGCGCGUUCCCUCCCGCCGCGUGCGGUUGGCACAGCGCCUAGGCCGGUGCCCGCUGCUGGGCCUUUCAUCUUCGUCGAGAGCCGCGCUCGCCAAACACCGCCUCCGGUCCCUCCAGCCGGGACUGUGGGCAAACGAGCGAAAAGCCAAUCAGCCAGUAACUGGGAGGGAAACGUAAAAGGAAAGGCCAAUGGGGUCCAGUUUCUGCUGACGCGCCAUUUAGCUUCAGAGCAUAUGCUCAGCGUGUCCGCGUCCCUGUGUUGAAUCUGAAAACGUGGGCUCUUGGAAGCUGCCUUUGGUAGGAGCGCUGCUUACCGUCUCAUCCCUAACUUUUCACUUAUUCAGCAAAUACUUGUUGAGUUCCUAUUUUCUGGAAAAGAUUGGGUUAGACACUGGAACUAAUACAAACAAAGAACUGGCUCAUGUGAAAAUGGGAGCUGAGUCCCAGGACAUGCCGUCAGCAAGCUGGAGACCCAGGAGAGCUGAUGGUAUGAAUUCUAGUCCAAAAGCUGGCAGACUCAAGACUCAAGAAGAGCUGAUAUUUCUGGCUGAGUCUGAAGGUUGGAAAAAAAGCAACAUUCCAGUUUAAGCAGUCAGUAACUUCUUUCUAAAGAAGGGGGAAAAAGUAACUUUAAAGUGGAGAAACAUGACAAACAUCAGCUCAACCAGGUGAUUAAGGUCAAUGUCAACAGUGGAGCUGGCCAGUGGGAUCCAUUCCAGCUGGUGCUGUGUUUGACAAGUUCCUGUUUUUCAUAAAUGUGUCCUGGGUUCUGGCCCAAGACGUCCCAGACUCACCUUGUGUCUAUUCUUCUCAAGACUUGGAAUCAGCCAAUUCUGCAAGGAACAGCUAGACGUCACUUUAAACUGAAAACUCUGAAUUCCUUAUUAAAGCAUUUUCUUGAGAGAGUUUUGGGAAUAGCAAGCCUGCUGAGUAAAGAGUUGAAAGCAUCUAUUUUGACUGUUAGCUGUAAUGGUCACUGAAAACAAUAUGUUUAUCUUUUUAACAAAGACUAUCACAGUCAAAAUCUGCGUUAAAUCAUAGCUUGUUGUGCUCCUAUUCUUUCAACCUAAAUAAACAAAAAUUUAAAAUA